rnacentral:lncRNA from 10 species
GCCUUGUUUUGUUGCUGAUGCUCGUAAUGCUGGUGAUGAGGUGGAGGGAGAAGGCGUAGAGAGGUAAACAGGUGGCAAAGCUUAUGUGCCAUUCUAUGGCUUUGAUUUUUUUUCACUCAGAGCUCUGGGGAGUCAUUAAAGCUUUCUGAGCUGGAGAAUGGCAUAAUCAGAUUUGAAUUUGUAAGAGCUCAUUCUGGCAGUGGUGUAGAAAGGGCUAGACUGUAGACAGGGAGAUUGGUUGGAAAGCAAUUUAAUGAAUUGAAGCCAUUGGGAAGGAAAAUUAAAGGAAAGGGUGAGGUUGCAGAAAUAUUCAGGCCUUUUUUAUUUUUAAUUUUUAUGGAUACAUAAUAGUUGUACAAUUUUAAAAUAUAAAAUAAAUAUAUUUCUAUAGCAAAAAAGGAGAAAUAUUUAGUUCUAAAGAUUAUUUUAUUUUUCCAAAGCGGAUUCUAAAAAGACUUGCUUCUUUACGGCCAUCACCUACAGGGAGGAAUUUUUUCUUCUCCUCAUCAAGUGGUCUACAGGAUGCAGAUCUGUAAGGUGCUAACACUCAACUACAUCCGUUAGCUCUCCAGUUUUUGAACUGAUAUGAAACCUCCAAUACUAUCCAGGAACUCACAGCAAGGAAAUAAUAUUCAGAGAUAUGAAUCACGUUACACACACCAGAGAACGACCAUGUGAGCACACAGGAAGAUGACCACCUUUUGCAAGCCAAAAAGAAAGCGCUCACAAGCAACCAAAUAGGCCAGCACCCUGAUUUUGGACUUCCCAGCUUCAAGAAGUGAGAGUAAUAAGUUUGUAUUCUUUAAGUCAUCCAGGUUACAAGCAGACUAAAGCAGCUUCUUCCACUUGUUCAAAAUUCUACAUUUUAAAUUUUUAUAAUGUGUUUUGGUUGUUUUAAGUACAACUUUGCAGUAUUUCUUAUCUUUGGUGGCAUUUUCAGAAUACCAAAUAAAAGCAGGUUGAACAAUAAAGACAUUUAUUUUCUCAGUAAAAAAAGUGACAAGUUCAGCAGUGUCAGUUCCAAUCUUCAUCCAGUGGCUCAGCGACAUAAUCAAGGACUGUCUCUUCUCAUUUUUCCCUGUCCACUGUCCUCAGAAGAUUGUAGAACCUCAUAAUUGAAAGACGGCCAUUGCACUUUCUAUGAUCAAAAGUUCUUAUCAGAUAUCACUGAAAGCAGAAAGGAUAAGAUCAGAAGGAAAAAUUGUCUUUGGUGGUGGUAAAUUAAAUAACCAAGAGACCAUUAGUCCGACUCUGUCUCCAUACUUUGAGUUCACACAUAACAAACCACAACCUAACAUAGUAUGUAAACCAAAACUGAACUUAGAAGUACAUUUUUUUGGUAACCAAUAAUCAGGUUUCAUCCAGUCACAAAUAGCACAGUUUCAGCCAGUCACAGGCAGCCAACUAAUCAAACCAUGUUGAAAUAAGGAAAAUACCUCAUCAUAGCAUACCCAAAUAAGACAGAUGCUUAGCUUUCCUGCUAAUCAGGAAACUUUCCUAUUUUGCUUCCAUGUUCAGCCUAUAAAAGCUUGCUGCUCUCACUGCUAGGUGAGCUCUCUGAACUUCUUCUGGCUCUGAGUGCUGCCCAAUUCAUGAAUUAUUAUUUUUCACUCAAAUAAACUCUGUAAAAUUUAAUUUUUCUGAAGUUCUUUUUUUUGGACACUGGUUAUAAAUUGAGUCACAUCCCCACCUAAAUAAGACAAUUAUUGAUGAAUGGGAAUGGAAUUACCAUGAUUGUUUAACUAAUAAUUAUGUAUACCCUAGGUCUUGGUCCACUGCCAAAAAUAGUGUUCUAUUGAUUAAGAACAAAAUCGAGGAUCAGCCUAUAUCAUUAUUUGAAGUGUAAUCUAAUAUGAUGUCACAUUAUCAAAUCUCCUUCACUGUCAAGAUGGUUGCCAACUCAAUAAUAUCAGCACUUCAACAAAUAUGACUUAGACUCAGAUGGGAGUUAAAGCCAAGGGAGGUUUUUCAUAUGGUUGAAUAAUGGAAAUUUUGUGAGAAUGCUCCAAACAUCUAGUUUCUGUUCCCACCAAUCUGACUGGGGAACAGGCAUCCUGCAGUGGCUGUAAUCCAGAUCCUCCCCUUUAGGAUUGAGGCACAUUCCCCAGCUGCCAGGAAUGUUUGUUCAAAAUGGUAAUUAUAUGGCACCAUAUUUCUUCUCAUAGUUUCUCUGUAAAUUUCCUCAUUUCUGAAUUAUUAAAAAAUUAAGGUCCUGUUCUUGCUACCAUAUCAGAGUAAAACAAAUAAAUAUUUUUCUGUUGGCAAGAGGUAACUUUUCUAAAACAAAAAUAGUUAAUGUUCCAUCCUGGCCAGCAUGGUGAAACCCUGUCUCUACUAAAAAUACAAAAAUUAGUGUGGCAUGGUGGUGUUCACCUGUGGUGCUAGCUACUCAGGAGGCUGAGGCAGGAGAAUCUCUUGAACCUGGGAGGCGGAGGUUGCAGUGAGCCGAGAUCGUGCCACUGUACUCCAGCCUGACAACAAAGCGAGAUUCUGUCAAAAAAAAAAUAGUUAAUAUCUUAGGUAGUUUGGUUUUAUUAUGUAAACUGUCACCCCAACAAUCAUGUCUUUUAUAUCUAUAAAUGCUUCAUGGAAAUCAGAGACAGAUGGCUAAGGUCUAAAUAUGGCAAUAUCUAGCAUACGAAAACAGCCAUGGAAGAUGAGUUAGGAAGAAUAAUGGUCCUUCAAAUACAUCCACAUUCUUAUAUGCUGAGCCUGAUAUAAAAGAUUAUAUUUAUAUGAUAUUUAUAUGUUAUAUAAUUAACAAAUGUUUACGAUGUUACAAAACAUAAUAACAUUUAUUCUGUCUGCUACCUUAAUCACUCUUUACUUUCCAUGGCAAAGAAUGAUUAACGUAGCAGAUAGAAUAAAUGUUGCUAAAUUAGCUGCCCUUAAAAUUGAUUGUCUGGGCAGACUUGAUGCGAUGACAAUGCUCAUUUAAAGUGGAAAAAGGAGGCUGAGUAGGACAUCAUAGUGAUACAAUAUGAAAAGAUCUCAACCCUCUUUAUCCGGCUUUGAAGAUGGAGAAAGGGAACAAAGAGCCAAGGAAGGUGGGUUGUCUCUAGAAGCUGAAAACUGCAAGAAACUGUCUCUUCUCUGGAGCCUCCAGAAAAGAAUGCAGCCCUGCCUACACCUUUAUUUCAGCCCUGUGAGACAUUUGACCCCCA